UUCGUCUUCUCCAAUUCCCCUAAUCAUUCGUGCCUCCUCUGAAGCAAAGCAAAACAUAUAAAAAAACAAAAAAAAAUCAAUCGUUCUUCGUCUUCUCCAAUUUCCUUAAUCAUUCGUGCCCCCUCUGAAGCAAAGCAAUGAAAGUCCCAAACCAAAACGGCAAAACUCGAGCCCUAGGUUCUUUGCCGUCGCCAUUCCCAGGCGCUCAACGCUUCCUGUUCUUCCUCUUCCCCCUGUUC
rnacentral:lncRNA from 1 species